UCAUUAAUGAAAAUGUGCGCUCGGGAGGGUUGUGCUGGCGCCUGGCGCAUGUGCACGCCCACCCUUGCCGUCCAUCCACUCACACCUGUGCACACCGCUCGUCGGACGGGGGCCCUGCGCCCAUGUCCGACGCACUUCACAUCAGCCCGAGUGUCUUAUCGAAUGUAAAUUGCGUAAAUGCAACCGAAAUACAACUUUUAACAACGGAUCUCUUGGUUCUCGCAUCGAUGAAGAACGCAGCGAAAUGCGAUAAGUAAUGUGAAUUGCAGAAUUCAGUGAAUCAUCGAAUCUUUGAACGCACCUUGCGCUCCUUGGUAUUCCGAGGAGCAUGCCCGUUUGAGUGUCUUGAUAUCAUCGAGCCCACCCCGCUUCUGGUGGGGUUGUGCUCGGACUUGGAUGUGCUGCCGGGCGGCAACGCUCGGCUCAUCCCGAAUGCAUUAGCUGGAUUUUCCUGGCCUUGGACUUUUGGUUCUCACUCGGCGUGAUAAGAUCACCCGUCGAGGACGUCCCUCGCCUCAUGGACCGGCUCCCAACCGUCCCUCGUGGACAACACAUUGACAAUCUGACCUCAAAUCGGGUAGGACUACCCGCUGAACUUAAGCAUAUCA
rnacentral:rRNA from 1 species